ACAAUUAGUGUGACAAGAACAAGUGAGUGUGAUUGUGUGAACAGAUUCAACAAUGGACACAGCAGGGAACACUAUAUAAUAUACUUAGGGCAAACCAUUAACAUAUAACGUUGCAAAUAUACUAUACUUAAUGCCAUUACAAUACUUAUAAUAGCCCUGAGCAAAUUCAAAAUUGGUUUAGAUCAAUGGUCAUACCAUGGUUGGCUGUGCAGCGUUUGGAUGCUCCAAUCGGUCCGAGAAGGGUUACCACAUGUAUGGCUUCCCCAAGGACCAAGAGCGCAGGAAGAAAUGGAUGGCAAUGGUCAGCCGUCAAAACGUACAAUUGACAGGGGUCAGCAACCGUCAAAAACUAUGUAAUGUAAGUAAUGUUCACAUCACUUGAUAGCAUUUCAAAGGGCAUAAUAAUUCUAAGUGUAGAGAAUUAUGACUUUUCAAUGAUAUUUGAAGUGCAAUGGAAACUGAUCUUACAAGCCUACCUAUAAGGUACACUUUGAAGAUGACCAAUUCACUGCCACAAAAAGAGAAGGGAUGUUGAAGCUGAGGCCCGAUGCAGUCCCAACAGUUUUCAUUCAUCGCCCUAAGCCGAAGAGGAGGAAACCCCCUUCUGUGAGGGUGCCUCCAGAACCAAGUGCAACGGACCACACAUAUUUCACCAAAUUAAACUUCGAGAUUGAGGGAGAAAUUGAGGUGGAUUUCAAGAGCGAUGAAAAGGACAUGACAGGAGACACAGAGAGCAAUCAAGAGGCCACUUUGCCAGGGGCAGGUGAUUCAGGGGCAGGUGAUUCAGGGGCAGCUGCUCCAGGGCCAGCUGCUCAAGGGCCAGCUGCUCCAGGGACCAGACUGCCAGGGACUGAUGGGGCGACUGUGGAGGACCUAAUAAGGCAACUAGAAAAGGAAAAAUUAAUGAGAAGGAGAGCAGAGA